rnacentral:rRNA from 1 species
GAUGAACGCUGGCGGCGUGCUUAACACAUGCAAGUCGAACGGUGAAGCAGGAGCUUGCUCUGUGGAUCAGUGGCGAACGGGUGAGUAACACGUGAGCAACCUGCCCCUGACUCUGGGAUAAGCGCUGGAAACGGCGUCUAAUACUGGAUAUGUGAUGUGACCGCAUGGUCUGCAUCUGGAAAGAAUUUCGGUUGGGGAUGGGCUCGCGGCCUAUCAGCUUGUUGGUGAGGUAAUGGCUCACCAAGGCGUCGACGGGUAGCCGGCCUGAGAGGGUGACCGGCCACACUGGGACUGAGACACGGCCCAGACUCCUACGGGAGGCAGCAGUGGGGAAUAUUGCACAAUGGGCGGAAGCCUGAUGCAGCAACGCCGCGUGAGGGAUGACGGCCUUCGGGUUGUAAACCUCUUUUAGCAGGGAAGAAGCGAAAGUGACGGUACCUGCAGAAAAAGCACCGGCUAACUACGUGCCAGCCGCCGCAGUAA